CCUACGGGAGGCAGCAGUGGGGAAUAUUGCACAAUGGGGGAAACCCUGAUGCAGCGACGCCGCGUGAGUGAAGAAGUAUUUCGGUAUGUAAAGCUCUAUCAGCAGGGAAGAAAAUGACGGUACCUGAUUAAGAAGCCCCGGCUAACUACGUGCCAGCAGCCGCGGUAAUACGUAGGGGGCAAGCGUUAUCCGGAUUUACUGGGUGGAAAGGGAGCGCAGACGGCAGGGCAAGUCUGAUGUGAAAGUCCGGGGCUCAACCCCGGGACUGCAUUGGAAACUGUCCGGCUAGAGUGCAGGAGAGGUAAGUGGAAUUCCUAGUGUAGCGGUGAAAUGCGUAGAUAUUAGGAGGAACACCAGUGGCGAAGGCGGCUUACUGGACUGUAACUGACGUUGAGGCUCGAAAGCGUGGGGAGCAAACAGGAUUAGAUACCCCGGUAGUC
rnacentral:rRNA from 1 species